CAAGUCGAGCGAUGAAGUUUCCUUCGGGAAACGGAUUAGCGGCGGACGGGUGAGUAACACGUGGGCAACCUACCUCAUAGAGGGGAAUAGCCUUCCGAAAGGGAGAUUAAUACCGCAUAACAUUUUUGAUUGGCAUCAAUCGGAAAUCAAAGGAGCAAUCCGCUAUGAGAUGGGCCCGCGUCGCAUUAGUUAGUUGGUGGGGUAAAGGCCUACCAAGACGACGAUGCGUAGCCGACCUGAGAGGGUGAUCGGCCACAUUGGGACUGAGACACGGCCCAGACUCCUACGGGAGGCAGCAGUGGGGAAUAUUGCACAAUGGAGGAAACUCUGAUGCAGCAACGCCGCGUGAGCGAUGAAGGUCUUCGGAUCGUAAAGCUCUGUCUUUAGGGAUGAUAAUGACAGUACCUAAGGAGGAAGCCACGGCUAACUACGUGCCAGCAGCCGCGGUAAUACGUAGGUGGCGAGCGUUAUCCGGAAUUAUUGGGCGUAAAGGGAGCGUAGGCGGAUACUUAAGUGGGAUGUGAAAGACUUGGGCUCAACCCAAGGGCUGCAUUCCAAACUGAGUAUCUAGAGUGCAGGAGAGGAGAGUGGAAUUCCUAGUGUAGCGGUGAAAUGCGUAGAGAUUAGGAAGAACACCAGUGGCUAAGGCGACUCUCUGGACUGUAACUGACGCUGAGGCUCGAAAGCGGGGGGAGCAAACAGGAUUAGAUACCCUGGUAGUCCACG
rnacentral:rRNA from 1 species